UACGUAGGCAGCAAGCGUUGUUCGGAGUUACUGGGCGUAAAGGGUGUGUAGGCGGCUUUUUAAGUUUGGUGUGAAAUCUCCCGGCUCAACCGGGAGGGUGCGCCGAAUACUGAGAGGCUAGAGUGUGGGAGAGGAAAGUGGAAUUCCUGGUGUAGCGGUGAAAUGCGUAGAUAUCAGGAGGAACACCGGUGGUGUAAACGGCUUUCUGGACCAUAACUGACGCUGAGGCACGAAAGCGUGGGUAGCAAACAGG
rnacentral:rRNA from 1 species